CAGAUCAGGCAAAUGUGAACCAAUCGAAACAAGAAGACCUGCUGCUGCCCUUUGCCAAUCAGCAUUGAGUUCCUACAAAAGAGAAUAUUUAAAAGAUGUGAGAAGUCCAGAUUGCGUCCAUUUACCAUGUAUUACAAAUAGCUCCAGUGCAAGUGAAUUAACCACAAAUUCAGAUAUAUUCCUAAUGAUCAUUGUUCAUAAUUCAAACUCGUUUUUCACCAACAUUUCAAACUAUAUUACCUCAAUGUGGACUGCCUAGCACCACCUGCUGCCCAUUUUAAGUGGUUUUUGUGUUGGGUCUGUUUUCAAUCUGUUUUUACUU